UGGGGCGGUCUCCUCCCAAAGCGUAACGGAGGAGCACGAAGGUUAGCUAAUCCUGGUCGGACAUCAGGAGGUUAGUGCAAUGGCAUAAGCUAGCUUGACUGCGAGCGUGACGGCGCGAGCAGGUGCGAAAGCAGGUCAUAGUGAUCCGGUGGUUCUGAAUGGAAGGGCCAUCGCUCAACGGAUAAAAGGUACUCCGGGGAUAACAGGCUGAUACCGCCCAAGAGUUCAUAUCGACGGCGGUGUUUGGCACCUCGAUGUCGGCUCAUCACAUCCUGGGGCUGAAGUAGGUCCCAAGGGUAUGGCUGUUCGCCAUUUAAAGUGGUACGCGAGCUGGGUUUAGAACGUCGUGAGACAGUUCGGUCCCUAUCUGCCGUGGGCGCUGGAGAAUUGAGGGGGGCUGCUCCUAGUACGAGAGGACCGGAGUGGACGCAUCACUGGUGUUCGGGUUGUCAUGCCAAUGGCACUGCCCGG
rnacentral:rRNA from 1 species